rnacentral:rRNA from 1 species
AACUGAAAAAUUUUCAACGGCGGAUAUCUUGGUUCCCAUAACGAUGAAGAACGUAGCAAAGUACGAUAAGCAAUGCGAAUUGCAGAAUUCAGUGAAUCAUCAGAAAUUUGAACGCAAAUUGCACCAGAGGGAUAUGCCUUCUGGUAUGCUUGUUUCAGUG